rnacentral:rRNA from 1 species
GAUGAUAAUGACAGUACCUGGUAAAGAAACCCCGGCUAACUCCGUGCCAGCAGCCGCGGUAAUACGGAGGGGGUUAGCGUUGUUCGGAAUUACUGGGCGUAAAGCGUACGUAGGCGGAUUGGAAAGUUGGGGGUGAAAUCCCAGGGCUCAACCCUGGAACUGCCUCCAAAACUAUCAGUCUAGAGUUCGAGAGAGGUGAGUGGAAUUCCAAGUGUAGAGGUGAAAUUCGUAGAUAUUUGGAGGAACACCAGUGGCGAAGGCGGCUCACUGGCUCGAUACUGACGCUGAGGUACGAAAGUGUGGGGAGCAAACAGGAUUAGAUACCCUGGUAGUCCACACCGUAAACGAUGAAUGCCAGUCGUCGGGCAGUAUACUGUUCGGUGACACACCUAACGGAUUAAGCAUUCCGCCUGGGGAGUACGGUCGCAAGAUUAAAACUCA